AGGUCGAGGUUGAGGUCGGGGCAGCGCUCUUCGUCCAUGCUCGUGACACUGCUGUGCCCGUCCUCGGCCAUGUCGUUCGGCUUCACGGCUUCGUCGGCUGCCAUGGGAAUGCCUUGCCGGUGAGAAGGAACGCCGCCGAUGGUAAGGUGAGUCUUGGGGUCGAGCCCGCGACUGAUGAGCUUGCGCUUGAUGUGGGUGUUCCAGUAGUUCUUGAUCUCGUUGUCCGUCCUCCCCGGUAGGCGCCCGGCGAUCAGAGACCACCUGAAACCACAAGACAUUGGCAGCGUAAGAGGGAGGACACGCAAGAGAAGUGUAGCAGCAACAGCAGCAGUUGAUACG
rnacentral:lncRNA from 1 species